GUGAUUCCAGACGCUCCGGGAUCCCUGAGUCGGAGGUUGCUGCUACCUCCGCGUCUUUAGCACCCGAUGAGAGAGUUGAGACAAGGAAAUUAUAUGCACUGCUCAGUAUAACACAGCUGGAUACAAGCUUCAGGCAGGCAAAGUACAUCAUCUCUCCCAUUCACUCCUGUACCUUGAGCAGCAUCGAAUACUGUGCCAGACAUAUGGUAAGCACUCAGUAAAUAUUUGCAGAAUGAAUACAUGAAUAAUAUAUGCAUGAAAAAUGCUAACCGAAUGAAUGAAUCCCCAGACCCAGAGCAGAUGAAUCAUCGGCUUGAAUCUAAACGUGGUACAAGUGUCCCUUGUUUACAAAGUGAAUUUAAUGAUGCCAAUUAUUCACACUGCAAAAUGAUUCUUCACGUUACCAAAGGUUUCGUUUGAAAACUAGUUAAAAUAGCUCCCUCAUUUAGUGCUUUUAAAAAUAUAAUCCAAUUUGCAAAAUGGUGGCGGGCAGACAACUUUUCGAGAACAUAUGAAUUUCCUGAAAUGAAUUACAGGUAUGCAUAAUGACAGUUCUGCUUCUGAUUUCUAAUUCUAGUUUAUUUGUUGUAUGGACAAAGAGAUUGGCUUAUUGAAACGCCUCACAGAGGGCUAUUUCAAUGUUCCUCUGUGCAUACAUUUACAUUACUUUUUAACUUGUGAAUAGGCACAUUUAAAUAUGUUUGUGCUCCUCAAGAACCAUUGGAAGUGUUAUUCAAGAUUGGUCCCGGCUUGCUUUGCAAAUCAUCUACAAUUUGGACAAUAGGACUUGAGAGCUCAGGGUUCCAAUUUUCAUGAACCAUGAACAUGGAAAUGCUGACUAUCACUGCUGAGGAGGGAAGGCAGAAAUGAUCCUUAGCCAAUGGAGAAGACUUAAAAAAUCUUUUUUUUAGGGUCCUCAGUUUAAGCUAGAUGAACUUACACAGCACAGGCUGAAUUUUUCAGUGCUUUAUCUAAUUGUGUCUGCUUCUCUUUCCCUAUUCACUUGCAUCUUUGGUGGCAGAGAGAUAAUAGUGAGGUUUCCAUAGAGCACAGGUAGGUCAAAAUGGAAUGCAGUAUUUUGCACAGGUGGCUCAAGAGCUUUCUUCUUGGAAACAAUGUUCCAGAACAGUCUCUCCAUCCUGAUUGACAGUCUCUUUAGUUCUGGGUCUUAAGCCAUGAUUGAUUCCCUGCCGCAAAGAGUAUUGUUCUGGGCAUGGGUAGAAUUAAAGAAUAACACUUUUAACAGCUAUUCAUUGAAUGCCUAUUAAGUACUUUUAAUUCCAGUCUUUACAACUGUUCUACAGAGUCAGUAUUCUUAUGCCCAUUUUAUAGGUAAGGACAGAGGAGCUCAGAAAAUUGAACAGCUUACUCAAAGUCAAAUAGUUUGCUAAUAAAUGAAUAAUUAAAUGUGAUUUAAUUGCUCAGAGUCUACAAGGGAAUAUAACUGGGAAUUAAUUUAUAUGGGAGAGGUGGUAAGGAGAGGUGAGUGGAGGCUUCCUUCAAGGUAUUCUUUUUUUUUUUUUUUUUUUUUUUUUUUUCUUUUUAGGGCUGCACCCACGGCAUAUGGAGGUUCCCAGGUUAGAGAUCUAAUCAGAGCUGUAGCUACCAGCCUACACCACAGCCACAGCAAUGCCAGUUCCAAGCCACAUCUAUGACCUACACCACAGCUCACGGCAACACCGGAUCCUUAACCCACUGAGCAAGGCCAGGGGUCUAACCCACAACCUUAUGGUUCCUAGUCGGACUUGUUUCCACUGCACCAAGAUGGGGACUCCAAGGUAUCCUUUUUAAGCUGAGAAUUAAGAUAGGCAGAGGGGCUAGUUAAGAUAAGUAGGGAGGGGACAUUGAUGGAAGGAAUAUACUAUAUAAGGCCAUUGAGGCAAGAUGGAAUUUGGAGGUUUUGAGGACCUAAAAAAUAUCUAUAAGACUGAUGUUUAGUGAGCUUGGAGGAAAUAUAGAGACAGGUAACCCAGAGCUUUGUAGGACAAGGAAAGAAUCCUGAAUUGUACCCCAAAUGCAGUGGGCAGUUGUUGAUGUCUUUUCCUUCAGGCAGAAGGGAUCUCAUUGUAUUUGUCGACAGGGAGCAUUAUGGCUAUAAGUGGAUGAGAACAAGAAUGGAUACAUGGAUAUUUUCAAAUUGAUAUUUUCGUUUUCUUCAGAUAAAUACCAGGACUGGAAUUGCUGGAUCAUAUGGUAGUUCUGCUUUUAAUUUUUGAGCAACCUCUGUGUUGUUCUCCAUAGUGGCUACACCAAUUUACAUUCGCACCAACAGUGCACAAAGGUUUCCUUUUCUCUACAUCCUCACCAACGUUUCUUGUGUUAUCUUUUUGUUGAUGUCAUUCUAACAGAUGUGAGGUGAUAUCUUAUUUACAUUUCCCCAAUGAUUAGUGAUGUUGAACAUUUUUUUAUGUGUACCCCAUUGUUUAUAGCAGCAUUAUUUAUGACAUCUAAGAUAUGAAAGUAACCUAAGUGUCCAUCAGUAGAUGAAUAGGUGAUAUUGUGUUUGUAUACAUACAUGUAUGUGUAUAUGUACAUGUGAUGGAAUAUUACUCAACCCUAAAAAAUGAAAAUUUGCCACUUGCAACGUGGAUGAUCCUGGAGGUUAUUUUGCUUAGUGAAAUAAGUCAGAUAGAGAAAGACCAAUACUGUAUGUUUUCAUUUCUAUGUGGAAUCUAAAAAACAAAACAAAUGAAUGUAAUAAACUCACAGAUACAGAGGACGCACUAGUAGGGAGAGGGUUUGGGGGAGGAUUAAGAUAGGUGAAGGGGAUUAAGACAUACAAACUACUAGUUAUAAAAUAAGUAAGAUACCAGAAUAUAAUAUACAGCACAGCAAAUAUAGCCACUAUUUUGUAAUAAUGUUAUAUGGAGUAUAAUCUAUAAAAAUAUUGAAUCACUGUGUUGUGUUCUUAAAACUAGUAUAAUAUUGUAAGUCAACUACACUUCAAUACAAAAAAAAAAAAAAAA
rnacentral:lncRNA from 1 species